rnacentral:rRNA from 1 species
UACGGAGGAUGCGAGCGUUAUCCGGAUUUAUUGGGUUUAAAGGGUGCGUAGGUGGUCGUUUAAGUCAGCGGUGAAAGUUUGUGGCUCAACCAUAAAAUUGCCGUUGAAACUGGAUGACUUGAGUAUAUUUGAGGUAGGCGGAAUGCGUGGUGUAGCGGUGAAAUGCAUAGAUAUCACGCAGAACUCCGAUUGCGAAGGCAGCUUGCUAAACUAUAACUGACACUGAAGCACGAAAGCGUGGGGAUCGAACAGG